GUUACCGGGAGGCGCGGCCCUUCAGCAUGGCUGCCCCCAGCGGCGGCCGGCUGUCAUUCGGAAUUAAAGAGUUAGUGGCCAGAGCCAGCUCGGCCUGUGCAAACUCUGCAGGCUGAGAGACGCAGAAAGCCGGCGGAGCUGACCGGCUGGGGAAAGCGCGGCGCCGGGGACACGGGGGUCCUCACAGGGAGAUGCCCGGCCCCGCGCCCCGGGAGACGGCGUGCGCUUAGUCUUUCGGUCCAGCCUGAGUUGCACCACCAGCACUCCUGGGUCACCAGCCUGCACAUGGGACUUCUCAGCUUCCAUCAUCAUGUGAGCUAAUUCCUAGGAUAUAUAAUAAUAUAAGACUAUUCUGUUGGUUUUACUUCUCUGGAGAGCCUUGACUAAAAACACUGCAAUCUGAGCUUUACUGAACCACCACAGUGAGAAGCCUUCUGCUAAGAAUGCUACCACCUCCUAGAGUUUGUAGGACACAUCUUCAUAAAGCUUUCUGUGUCCCUGGA